rnacentral:rRNA from 1 species
CAGUCGCCACGGUAAUACGUAGGGUGCAAGCGUUAAUCGGAAUUACUGGGCGUAUAGCGUGCGCAGGCGGUUCGUUAAGUCUGUUGUGAAAGCCCCGGGCUCAACCUGGGAAUGGCAAUGGAUACUGGCGAGCUAGAGUGUGUCAGAGGAUGGUGGAAUUCCCGGUGUAGCGGUGAAAUGCGUAGAGAUCGGGAGGAACAUCAGUGGCGAAGGCGGCCAUCUGGGACAACACUGACGCUGAGGCACGAAAGCGUGGGGAGCAAACAGGAUUAGAUACCCCCGUAGUCCCUGUCUCUUAUAC